CGCGUAGGCGGUUUACACAGUCAGAUGUGAAAUUCCAGGGCUUAACCUUGGGGCUGCAUUUGAUACGUGUAGACUAGAGUGUGAGAGAGGGUUGUGGAAUUCCCAGUGUAGAGGUGAAAUUCGUAGAGAUGUGGAGGAAUACCGGUGGCGAAGGCGGCCCCCUGGACAGAGACUGACGCUGAGGUGCGAAAGCGUGGGGAGCAAACAGGAUUAGAUACCCCGGUA
rnacentral:rRNA from 1 species